GAUGAAGAACGCAGCGAAAUGCGAUAAGUAAUGUGAAUUGCAGAAUUCAGUGAAUCAUCGAAUCUUGAACGCACAUUGCGCCCGCUAGUAUUCUAGCGGGCAUGCCUGUUCGAGCGUCAUUUCAACCAUCAAGCCCCAGGCUUGUGUUGGAGCCCUGCGGCCGUCCGCAGCCUCCUAAAAUCAGUGGCGGGCUCGCUAUCACACCGAGUGCAGUAGUUUACUCUUCGCUCAGGACGUGUAGCGGGUUCCGGCCGUGAAACCCCCCAAUUUUCAAGGUUGACCUCGGAUCAGGUAGGAAUACCCGCUGAACUUAAGCAUAUCAAUAAGCGGAGGA
rnacentral:misc_RNA from 1 species